UGGGGAAUAUUGCACAAUGGGCGCAAGCCUGAUGCAGCCAUGCCGCGUGUGUGAAGAAGGCCUUCGGGUUGUAAAGUACUUUCAGCGGGGAGGAAGGGAGUAAAGUUAAUACCUUUGCUCAUUGACGUUACCCGCAGAAGAAGCACCGGCUAACUCCGUGCCAGCAGCCGCGGUAAUACGGAGGGUGUAAGCGUUAAUCGGAAUUACUGGGCGUAAAGCGCACGCAGGCGGUUGAUUGAGUCAGAUGUGAAAUCCCCGGGCUUAACCCGGGAAUUGCAUCUGAUACUGGUCAGCUAGAGUCUUGUAGAGGGGGGUAGAAUUCCAUGUGUAGCGGUGAAAUGCGUAGAGAUGUGGAGGAAUACCGGUGGCGAAGGCGGCCCCCUGGACAAAGACUGACGCUCAGGUGCGAAAGCGUGGGGAGCAAACAGG
rnacentral:rRNA from 1 species